rnacentral:misc_RNA from 1 species
AACACACUGGUUGUAACAGAAGAAGUUGGCAAUGAUGUGGUUGUGCAUGUUAUGCUAGCUAGCAUGCCACUGUUCUUACUCUUAGCCUUAGGCAUACACUGAUGACACAUCUGGCUGAGUUUAAAUUCAAGUGGUUUGUAAAUGGAACGAGGACGUGCACGAAAGAGAGGCCACCCUAAUCGGGGUGGUGGCAGAUUUAACAGAGGUCGAGGGGGUGUCCAGCCGGGUCGAGGUCGUGGCAGAGGUCAGCGAAUAGCCCGUGGCGGUGGCGGUGGGGCAAGCCGGGGUGGAGGAAGUGGUUUUCAGCGUAAGGGAGUUGGCGACCUGGAUGACUGGGAAGAUCGGCCGCUAGAUGGACUGCACAGGGAAGACCAGGAUUAUGGUUACACACAUCCUUCACAGAGUCAUGGUUACACACAUUCUUCACAGAGUCGUGGUUACACACAUUCUUCACAGAGUCGUGAACCUGUCAAAGUCUGGUCACGGCCACCAAAGGUCAAGGUUGCCAUGCAGAGGAUUCAGAUGAGUAGAGAAAACCAAGACAUGAUUCGAGACAUGCUGCAAGACUUACAUGGAGAGGAGUUAGACAUUCCUUGUGAAGAGGAUUACGACUACCUUGACGUUCGUUCUGAAGACCAGUACUGGCUGUCGGACGGCACUCUGCAGAUUGAAGAUAGUUACAGCUAUGCAACUGAGGAUACCCAUUCCAAAACAGCAUUUGUUGUAAACCAGUUUGCCAUUAACAAACUGGUCCGAUACGGCUUUGAUAAGGAGAGAUGUACAGAGGCCUAUGAAAGUGCUGACGGCGACAUUGGUGCAUCUCUCGAACAACUGUUGUGUGAAUGCUUUAAGGAUGACUUAGAGACAGCUAAACACCCUGAAGCAGCUUCCUGUAAACAAGACAGCAGUUUCUGGCAGGAGGUCAUGGAAAGCCGAGACGAGGAAAUGAUUGCCUUGAAAUCUAUUUAUGAGGACAAGUUUGAGGAGAGAAUUGGUAAUACUGUGUGGGUUCUGAAUCUUGACUUGGAUCACUUGACAGAAAUGGUUGCUCCUCAAGCAUGCGUGAAAAGAACUAGAGCUCAAGCUGCCAAUAACGUUUCAAACAAUAUAUGUAAAUAUUUUUUAAGUGGUACUUGUAAAUAUGCAAACCGGUGUAAGUUCAAGCAUGUUAAAGAGGAAGAAGAUAAUUCGUUGGCUAGCGCUGAAUCGUUUCUGUACCAUCUGGAAGUUCGUUUUCCUUCAGGGAACUGUUACCCUCAGGAACCGCCAUUACUGGCAUUUUCUUCAACCUAUCAGUUCAUGCCCACACAUAUAAGUCUGAAUAUCACUAAACACCUAAUGAAAGAAGCUGUCAGUCUCUCUCUUACGGGUGAACCUGCCAUUUUUACUCUAGUCAGUCUGCUGGAUGAUGUUCCUCUGUUGAAGUCGAUCGUUGAUGGAGCACCCUCUGAAAUGAGUGUACCAAGGGCAGUAACUAGUCGAUUUAGGCCUGUGAGGCAGAAGGUAAUGAAGUCUUCCCAAGAGGAAGAGGAGGAUGAUGAGGAUGAGGGGAGCGAUGUAGAUAAGGAAACUAUUGAGGCUUUGGUUAGAAUGACAGAGAAGGAAAGUGAAGUAACCACAGAGGAAGAGGUCCAGCCACAGAAGUUUAGAAGGAAGGACAUCGUACGUCCUCCAUUACCUGAAGCACAGCUCAGAAAGAUGAACCGGGUUUUAAAACAAGAAUAUCAGAGGAAAAGGAAUGUUUCUUCUUACAAGAAGAUGCAAGUCCAACGACAAAGCUUACCAGCAUGGGACAUGCAGGAUCUGCUGGUGGAUGCCAUUAGUAAUCAACAAGUUAUGGUUAUCAGUGGGAUGACAGGAUGUGGUAAAACCACACAGGUUCCUCAGUUUUUACUUGAUUUCUACCUUACGACGAAGGAUGGUGACAUGUGUAACAUUGUGUGUACCCAGCCUCGCCGCAUCUCAGCCAUAUCCGUCGCAGAAAGAGUAGCCGAGGAACGAGCCUGCAAACUGGGAGGCAUUGUGGGAUACCAGAUCAGACUGGAGAGUGUGCAGUCCUCGAAGACGCGGUUGCUGUUCUGCACUACGGGAAUCAUUCUGAGACACCUGGAGGGUGACCCGUACCUCACGGGCAUCACUCACAUCAUUGUGGACGAGGUUCAUGAGCGCUCACAAGACAGUGAUUUCCUGCUGAUGAUUCUGAAAGAUCUGUUGCCACUGCGACCUGAUCUGAAAGUCAUCUUAAUGAGUGCCACACUCAAUGCUGAGCUUUUCUCCACGUAUUUUGGUCAAUGCAGAACGAUUGAAAUUCCAGGAAAAACCUUUCCAGUAGACCAGUACUUUCUUGAGGAUGUAAUCGAGGAAACAGGGUUUGUUUUGGAGGACGGUUCCCCCUAUGCCCGUUCUCUGAAGAGAACAAGUGCGAGCCCUGGAGAGACGUGCCAUUCUGUUGACGACAUCACAGACGAGAUACGAUCACUGAGCUGUGGUAGUUCAGUGCCAUACCCCAAAGACAACAUCCGUGAUGAGAACCUCACAGUCAAACAGUUGUUUGCAAGAUAUUCAGAUGGAGUCAGCCGAUCAACAAUUAAAACACUGGCAAUGGUUGACCAUGACAAAAUCAACAUGGAUCUCAUCAUUUCCAUACUGGAGUGGAUUAUACAUGGGGAUCAUGAAUACCCGAGGAAUGGUGCUGUGUUAAUAUUCAUGCCCGGGUUUGCUGAGAUCCAGUCAUUCUAUGAUACACUGCUGUCUCAUUCGGAGUUCAGAAACAAGUCACGGUUUAAAGUCAUUCCCUUGCACUCCACUCUUUCUAGUGAAGACCAGCAUGCUGUGUUUCAGAGUCCACCAAAAGGUGUUACUAAAAUUGUAAUAGCCACUAAUAUUGCUGAGACAUCCAUUACAAUUGAUGAUGUUGUCUUUGUGGUUGACACGGGAAGAAUGAAAGAAAAAAGGUAUGAUUCUUCGAAAGGCAUGGAGAGCCUGGAACUGGUUUGGGUAUCGAGAGCGAAUGCUCUACAAAGGAGAGGUCGCGCUGGUCGUGUGACGUCCGGAGUGUGUUUUCACCUGUUCACGAGUCAUCGCUUUGAACACCAUCUGAGAGAACAGCCAAUCCCAGAGAUUCAAAGAGCUCCUCUUGAACAAAUCUGUCUCAGAAUAAAAAUGAUGGAUAUUUUCAAAGAUAAUAAUAUUAAAGAUGUGUUGAUGAAUCUGGUAGAGCCUCCAGCCAUGCAGUCCAUUGAUGAUGCUCUCAAAAGACUGCAGGAUCUUGGCGCACUCAACCCUGAUAUGGAGCUAACUCCUCUUGGAUACCACCUUGGAUCUCUGCCUGUUGAUGUUAGAAUUGGCAAAUUGAUGCUGUUUGGUGCAAUAUUUCGGUGUCUGGAUUCUAUACUCACAAUAGCUGCCACUCUAAGCUCAAAGUCUCCUUUUGUGUCACCAUUUGACAAACGUCAAGAAGCUGACAACAAAAAACUGGAGUUUGCGUUGGGCAACUCGGACCAUUUGACUGUGCUAAAUGCCUACAUGGUACACAAGUGGUUUCAGUAUCAUCCAGGGUUGGAUUAAUGCCAGGAAGAGAAGCUCCCAAGAAGGAUUUCAUUUCUGCAGAGAGAAUUUCCUCUCUGUCAAAUCUCUUCAGAUGUUGUCGAGUCUGAAACAGCAGUUUGUGGAGCUGAUCUCAGAUAUUGGCUUUGUGAAGGAAG